rnacentral:misc_RNA from 1 species
GCUUGCCCAUUCCAUAUUUGCUCUAAUAAGGAGUGAUUUGAUAUGAUUGAAGAAAAUAAAGGAGAACAAGUAAAGCUAGCCAAUGGUAACAAAGCGGAAGUCGAAGGUAUUACCAGAGCGAAGAUAGAACUGCAUGGUGAUCAUGUAAAGAUAUUUGAUAGAGUAAGAUAUAUUCCUAAAAUUGAAACAAAUUUUAAUUUCCUUUAGUAAACUAGAUUCUUUGAGUUAUGGGUGUUCCAUGCAUUGCGGAGUCACGAAAAUUGGCCGAGAUGCUCUCGUAAUCAUAAAGACAUUGAUUGAAAAAAUGCAAGUUGAGGCAAAUUGCAACAUUAACAAUCAAGAGUGCA